AUUGAACGCUGGCGGCAGGCUUAACACAUGCAAGUCGAGCGGAGAGAGGUAGCUUGCUACUGAUCUUAGCGGCGGACGGGUGAGUAAUGCUUAGGAAUCUGCCUAUUAGUGGGGGACAACAUUUCGAAAGGAAUGCUAAUACCGCAUACGUCCUACGGGGGAAAGCAGGGGAUCUUCGGACCUUGCGCUAAUAGAUGAGCCUAAGUCGGAUUAGCUAGUUGGUGGGGUAAAGGCCUACCAAGGCGACGAUCUGUAGCGGGUCUGAGAGGAUGAUCCGCCACACUGGGACUGAGACACGGCCCAGACUCCUACGGGAGGCAGCAGUGGGGAAUAUUGGACAAUGGGCGCAAGCCUGAUCCAGCCAUGCCGCGUGUGUGAAGAAGGCCUUAUGGUUGUAAAGCACUUUAAGCGAGGAGGAGGCUACUUUAGAUAAUACCUAGAGAUAGUGGACGUUACUCGCAGAAUAAGCACCGGCUAACUCUGUGCCAGCCGCCGCCGUAAGAC
rnacentral:rRNA from 1 species